CAUCGCUUCAGGGCGGGGUGUAAUUCCCCACCGGUGGUAAUUUCAGCACAAUAUUUAAAGUACUGAUUUAGCCCACGAGCAUGUAGCCUUAAAACUGCAUGCAGAUUUGGUUCAAUGCCAAAGCCGACGGUAUAGUCCGGAUGAAAGAAGACGACG
rnacentral:ncRNA from 2 species